AUUGAACGCUGGCGGCAGGCCUAACACCUGCAAGUCGAGCGCGUGGCGGACGGGUGAGUAAUGUCUGGGAAACUGCCUGAUGGAGGGGGAUAACUACUGGAAACGGUAGCUAAUACCGCAUACCAUCGGAUGUGCCCAGAUGGGAUUAGCUUGUUGGUGGGGUAACGGGUCACCAAGGCGGCGAUCCCUAGCUGGUCUGAGAGGAUGACCAGCCACACUGUAACUGCGACACGGUCCAGUCUCCGACGUGAGGCAGCAGUGGGGAAUAUUGCACAAUGGGCGCAAGCCGUAUGCAGCCAGGCCGCGUGUAUGACGAAGGCCUUCGGGUUGUAAAGCACUUUCAGCGGGGAGGCGUUACUCGCAGAAGAAGCACCGGCUAACUCCGUGCCAGCCGCCGCGGUAAUAC
rnacentral:rRNA from 1 species